GACAGAGGCCCCAAGCGUUAGGCGGAAUCACUGGGCUUAAAGCGUGUGUAGGCGGAUCGUUAAGUGUCUUGUGAAAUCCCACGGCUCACCCGUGGAACUGCUGGGCAUACUGGCGAUCUUGGGCCAACUAGGGGCAGCCGGAACAAGCGGUGGAGCGGUGAAAUGCGUAGAUAUCGCUUGGAACGCCAAAGGUGAAAACAGGCUGCUGGGGUUGCGCCGACGCUGAGACACGAAAGCCAGGGGAGCAAACGGG
rnacentral:rRNA from 1 species